UACAGAGGUCCCAAGCGUUGUUCGGAUUCACUGGGCGUAAAGGGUGCGUAGGUGGUGAGGUAAGUCUGAUGUGAAAUCCCGCAGCUCAACUGCGGAACUGCAUCGGAUACUAUCUUGCUAGAGGGUUUGAGGGGGGACUGGAAUUCUCGGUGUAGCAGUGAAAUGCGUAGAUAUCGAGAGGAACACCAGUGGCGAAGGCGAGUCCCUGGAAAACUCCUGACACUGAGGCACGAAAGCUAGGGGAGCAAACAGG
rnacentral:rRNA from 2 species